UCUCCGUUGGUGAACCAGCGGAGGGAUCAUUACAGGACUCGCAAGACUCCUUCACCCUGUGAACCUCACUACAAGCACGUUGCUUCGGCGGGUGUCCCGGCGGGGAUUUUCCCUCGCCGGGGCGCACAGCCCGCCGGCAGCCUACUAUACUCUGUCUCUUUGCGUUGGCAUCUCGAGAAAAAACAAACAAGUUAAAACUUUCAACAACGGAUCUCUUGGUUCUG
rnacentral:misc_RNA from 1 species